rnacentral:rRNA from 1 species
AGAGUUUGAUCCUGGCUCAGGACGAACGCUGGCGGCGUGCUUAACACAUGCAAGUCUAAGGAGAAAGUUCCUUCGGGAGCGAGUAAACUGGCGAACGGGUGAGUAACGCGUAGGUAACCUACCCUUAAGCUCGGGAUAACCCACCGAAAGGUGAGCUAAUACCGGAUAAUAUCUUUCCUCAUAAGGGGUAAAGAUCAAAGGUGGCUUCGGCUAUCACUUAUGGAUGGGCCUGCGUCUGAUUAGCUAGUUGGUAGGGUAACGGCCUACCAAAGCAAUGAUCAGUAGCUGGUCUGAGAGGGCGAUCAGCCACAUUGGGACUGAGAUACGGCCCAGACUCCUACGGGAGGCAGCAGUGGGGAAUUUUGCGCAAUGAGCGAAAGCUUGACGCAGCAACGCCGCGUGAUCGAAGAAGCUCUGCGGAGUGUAAAGAUCUGUCAUAGGGGAAGAUAAGUCCCGUUAUUAACACCAUCGGGAUGUGACGGUACCCUAUAAGAAAGCCCCGGCUAACUUCGUGCCAGCAGCCGCGGUAAUACGAGGGGGGCAAGCGUUGUCCGGAUUUAUUGGGCGUAAAGAGUUCGUAGGCUGGUUGGUCAGUCGAAAUUGAAAUCCCACGGCUUAACCGUGGACCCGGUUUCGAUACUGCCAAUCUUGAGUGAGGUAGAGGUAAGCGGAAUUCCUGGUGUAGCGGUGAAAUGCGUAGAUAUCAGGAGGAACACCAAAGGCGAAGGCAGCUUACUGGACCUAUACUGACGCUGAGGAACGAAAGCGUGGGGAGCAAACAGGAUUAGAUACCCUGGUAGUCCACGCCGUAAACGAUGAGUACUUGGUGGUGGGGGAUUCGACCCCUUCACUGUCGGAGCUAACGCGUUAAGUACUCCGCCUGGGGACUACGACCGCAAGGUUGAAACUCAAAGGAAUUGACGGGGACCCGCACAAGCGGUGGAUUAUGUGGUUUAAUUCGAUGCAACGCGAAGAACCUUACCUGGUCUUGACAUGUUAGUGAAAUUCCGGCGAAAGUCGGAACCUCUGCGAGCUUGCUCAAGGACACUAUCACAGGUGAUGCCUGGCUGUCGUCAGCUCGUGUCGUGAGAUGUUCGGUUAAGUCCGAUAACUAGCGCAACCCCUGCUUCUAGUUGCCAGCCCGUAAUGGUUGGGAAUCUAGAGC